rnacentral:rRNA from 1 species
UUUUAUUAGAAAUUAUUAAUAAUAAAAUCUGCUCAAUGAAAUUAAAUAGCCGCUUUUGUGCUAAGGUAGCAUAAUCAUUUGUCUUUUAAUUUAAGACUAGAACAAAAGAUUUUACAUUUAAAUUAAUAUUAUAUUUAUUAAAUUAAAAUUAUUCUUAAUGUAAAAAAACAUUAAUUUAUUAAAUAGACGAUAAGACCCUAUCGAACUUAACUUUAGUUUAACUGGGGCAGUUAAUUAAUUAUCAUUUUAAAAUAAUAUAAAAAAUAAAUGUCCUAAUAAAAUUAAUUUUAUGACUAAGUUACCGUAGGGAUAACAGUGUAAUAUUAUUUAAAAGAUCUUAUUUAAAAUAAAGAUUGCAACCUCGAUGUUGACUUAAUAACCUAAUUUACGCAAUAGUUUAUAAAGGAAGUCUGUUCGACUUUUAAAAAAUUACAUGA